CUGGAAUGAAUGGUAUAGGUGGUGGGGUGGUUUGAAAGACGGGAACGUAGCGGGCGGAAACUCUCGAAAAGCGACUGCGCAGGCGCGCGCCGGGCGCGGACGCUCACGGGUCACCCAGGGUAUCCGCCCCAAGCGGAGAAUAUCGGCGCAAGCGCGGAGUAGCCGUGUCACGCAUGCGUGCGAACGCACCACAUUCCGGAACGGGAAGAAGGAGCUGUCUCUCUCUUCUGAGGGGUAGGCAGGUGCUUCCGAAUCGCGGAAUGUAGGUGCUCAUAAGCUGGAGACCCACGGAAAGAACCUAGAAGCUCCGAGCGGUUGCAGACAGCACUGCAUUGAGCCAACGACUCCUGCUCUACUGAUGGUGAUUCCACAGCUUUGUGAGGAAUAAGUUAAGAUGAAUUACAGUUUCCCCUGGACUUCUUUCUCUCUCCUGCCGCCUUGUGAAGAAGGUGCCUGCCUCCCCUUCCACCACGAUUCUAAGUUUCCUGAAGUCUCCCCAGCCAUGCUGAACUAAUGUUAUCUUAUCUGGAAGAAGAGGAAUAGGAAAGAAAAGGAGUCAGGAAUGGAUCUUACUCAGAAGGCUGACUAGACACAGCCAGGUGGAAGAGCUCCCACUGCGGGACCAAGAUGACUGGAAUGCCCCUAACAGAUCUUCAGAGGGAAGAAACCAGGAGUGGACAGAGAGAAGACACAGAAGCUGGGCUGAAGGUAGUGAAAGCUGGGAAUGUGGCACAGGACUACUGCACACCAGGUUUUGUUCCUGGCCCACAAUGGCUCUGGGGGAUCAGGUUGAAGGAAAAUUACCCUGGAUGGAAGAUCAGAGGUAUAGAAAGAAAUGGAGAGCAAAGAAAGAGAGUCUCGCUCUAGGCUGGAGUCCUGUGGCCCAAUCUCGACUUACUGCAACCUCCACCUCCUGGGCUCAAGUGAUUCUCCUACCUCAGCCUCAGGUAGCUGAGACUUACAGGGGCGUGCCACCACACCUGGCUAAUUUUUGUGUUUUUAGUAGAGGCGGGCUUUCACCAUAUUGACUAGGCUGGUCUUGAACUGCUGACCUUAAGUGAUCCACCCACCUUGGCUUCCCUGGGAUUACAGACGUGAGCCAUCACACCCAGCCAAUGUAGCCAAUGUAGUAAAAUAUUAUUAUUUUCUUUCUUUUUACUUUUCUUUUUCUUUUUUUUUUUUGAGAGGGAUUCUUGCUCUGUGGCCCGGGCUGGAGUGCAGUGGCGUGAUCUCGGCUCACUUCAACCUCCGCCUCCUGGGUUCAAGCAAUUCUCCUGCCUCAGCCUCCCCAGUAGCUGGGAUUACAGGCGUGUGCCACCAUGCCCGGUUAAGUUUUGUAUCUUUAGUAGAGAUGGGGUUUCAUAUGUUGGCCAGGCUGGUCUCCAUCUCCUGACCUCAAGUGAUUUGCCCGCCUCAGCCUCCCAAAGUGCUAGGAUUACAGACGUGAGCCACCACAUCCAGCCCAAUGUAGUAAAGUAUUCUAAGGCCUUUGUAUUGUCCUGGAGGAGGUUAAAAUAAUAUCAGACUUUGUUAAGUUGAGAUAGAUGUCAUAAUCUCUAAGGCAAUCAUUAAAAAACAAAGCAAUAUAAUAUAUAACUUAGAAACUAAUUGGGAGUAUAGAAUUAUAAAAAAUAAUAAAUAUAUUCAAAAGAAAGCAACACUUUUCUCCUAAAGUUUGUGUUACCCUAUAUACCACCUUUUAUCUUUAACACAUGCCAACAUUCCUUAAUCACCUUAUGCAAAAAGAAGGGUUUAUUAUGUUAGGGUAAAAACAAAAAGGUCUUUAAGUAACAUUUAGGAGUAAGGAGAACACUCAUUCUAUCAGCUUUGGGGUUAAGGGAGGAUAAGAACAUAAA
rnacentral:lncRNA from 1 species